rnacentral:SRP_RNA from 1 species
CUCUCGGCUCAGUGUAACGUCCAACCAUUAACCCCGUCAGGUCCGGAAGGAAGCAGCGGUCCGUGGAUCUGAACGUGUCGCUGAAUACCGGGAGGUU